rnacentral:lncRNA from 1 species
CUUUGGGUAACCUGGGCAUACAGCAGAAGAAAUGUCAAGAAAUCAAACCGAGUUUAUUUUUUGGGGAAUACCCAUCAAGCUGCAAGAAAGAAAAGGUCACUAUCUAUUUGACAGGGUUUAAAAACAUUCCCUAGAUUCUAUGGCUGGUACAAAAGCCAAGAUUGUGCAAUUCUGGAGAAGCAUCAGUGGUCCUAGUGGUGUUUCUUUCCCUCUUCUCUGGAGAGAGAAGCCAAUUAGAAAAAUUAGCAAUACUCAAAAUUCUACUAACUGCAUAAAGUGUAGGCUUUUCCAUUUACUUUAUUCUGUUGCAGGCACUUCAGUUGUUGGAUGAGUGAUAAUCACUGUGGGAUUUGUGGAAAAUUAACCUUACAAGACACCUCUUUCAGGACUGGUUGCAGGGCUGUGUGGGCACAGAACAACAUGAUUCUGCAUGGUGCUCCAGACAGGCACUUGGGAGCCCCUUGCAAAUACCGCUCAAUAUCUGGAGGUGUGUGGUCAGGCUAAGGGCACAGAAAGCCAGUCUGGCAAUAAAAAUGCCGGCAAGUCUCCACUCUCAAAUCCAAAGAGCAAAGAUGAACUCUUUCUCCAGAAAACCCUUGGCUGCAAAAACAACCAGUCCUGCUGCAAGCCCCUGCAUGGGAGAUGCAAGUGAGUUUCUGCAUGCAAAGAGCAGAGUUCCCCCGGGAAAAGACUUUUACUGUAAUUCCCACCUCAUCCAUGUUUUUCUUUCAGCCUCUGUUCACCAUUAAUUAUUUUUUCAGACUCUACCAAUUUCUCCUGUCUUUUUCCCCCAGGCAAUUGCUUCAAGGUACUUCAGCGUUAAUGGACCAUGUGUUUAUUUUUAGCUCUGCAUCUCUUUAGUGUACGAGAACCUGGUGGAUGGCAAAAUAAGUACUUCAAGCCAUCAUGAACAAAUUCUGCCUCCAGUGCCCUUCCAGAUACUAUUUUGUCAUUUUUUCAAUGAAGUGACAAAAUGGUGACCUGCUGCACAAGAUGCAACAUGUGCAUCUCUGUGACAGGCACCUGCAGGCAGACAGCCUGGAAAGGCAGAAAUGCUUCCAGCAAACUGUGGGACACCAGUUUCACCUCUCUGCAAGUGCACAGAAACAGCAGAGAGUGGAAGAAUACUCCAAAAGUACACCAUUCCUCAGUACAAAUUGCAGACCACCCCUUCCACCCCAGCUGGAAGGACUUCACAAAAGGAUGCUGACACAGCAGUGUCCUGUGCAAGCAGCAGGAAAAGCAGGAGCCAGGACAGGUCACCCCAGGACUGGGCCAUGUUUGCAAGGAGAAAUGCCUCCUGACAAGCUCCUCUUUCCAACAGGCAGGUCUGCAUGCUUAUCUCUGGGGCUGAAGGCUUUCAUCA